CCUACGGGAGGCAGCAGUGAGGAAUAUUGGUCAAUGGGCGCUAGCCUGAACCAGCCAAGUAGCGUGAAGGAUGACUGCCCUAUGGGUUGUAAACUUCUUUUAUAUGGGAAUAAAGUGCAGUAUGUAUACUGCUUUGCAUGUACCUUAUGAAUAAGGAUCGGCUAACUCCGUGCCAGCAGCCGCGGUAAUACGGAGGAUUCGAGCGUUAUCCGGAUUUAUUGGGUUUAAAGGGUGCGUAGGCGGGUUGUUAAGUCAGUUGUGAAAGUUUGCGGCUCAACCGGAAAAUUGCAGUUAAUACGGGCAUCUAGGGGGACAGUAGGGGUAGGCGGAAGUCGUGGUGUGGCGGUGAAAUGCU
rnacentral:rRNA from 1 species